GACGAACGCUGGCGGUGUGCUUAACACAUGCAAGUGGUGCGACGAACCAGAGCUUGCUCUGGGGCAAAGCCGCGAACGGGUGAGUAACACGUGGGUAAUCUACCCCGAUGACCGGGACAACCCGAGGAAACUCGGGCUAAUACCGGAUGUGGUACGGAGACAUAAGUCUCUUUACUAAAGGUAGCUUCGGCUUCCGCAUUGGGAGGGGCCCGCGGCCCAUUAGCUAGUUGGUGGGGUCAAGGCCUACCAAGGCAACGAUGGGUAGCUGGUCUGAGAGGACGAUCAGCCACACUGGGACUGAGACACGGCCCAGACUCCUACGGGAGGCAGCAGUGGGGAAUCUUGCGCAAUGCGCGAAAGCGUGACGCAGCAACACCGCGUGAGGGAAGACGGCCUUAGGGUUGUAAACCUCUUUCAGAUGGGACGAAGGUGAUGCGGUGAAUAGCCGAUGUCAUUGACGGUACCGUCAGAAGAAGCUCCGGCUAACUACGUAGCCAGCAGCCGCGG
rnacentral:rRNA from 1 species